rnacentral:rRNA from 1 species
UCACCAGAGUACCAAUUGGAGGGCAAGUCUGGUGCCAGCAGCCGCGGUAAUUCCAGCUCCAAUAGCGUAUAUUAAACUUGUUGCAGUUAAAAAGCUCGUAGUUGUAUUUCAGCCUCGCGUUUGUGCCUUUUUUUUCGGAUUUCGCGCUGGCUUUUUUUUUACUUUGAGAAAAUUAGAGUGUUUCAAGCAGACUUUUGUCUUGAAUACUUCAGCAUGGAAUAAUAGAGUAGGACCUUGGUUCUAUUUUGUUGGUUUUUGAGCCUUGGUAAUGGUUAAUAGGAACGGUUGGGGGCAUUCGUAUUUAACUGUCAGAGGUGAAAUUCUUAGAUUUGUUAAAGACGAACUAGUGCGAAAGCAUUUGCCAAGGACGUUUUCAUUAAUCAAGAACGAAAGUUAGGGGAUCGAAGACGAUCAGAUACCGUCGUAGUCCUAACCAUAAACUAUGCCGACUAGGGAUUGGAGGUCGUCAUUUUUCGACUCCUUCAGCACCUUGAGAGAAAUCAAAGUCUUUGGGUUCUGGGG